GAUGAACGCUGGCGGCGUGCCUAAUACAUGCAAGUCGAGCGAACAGACGAGGAGCUUGCUCCUCUGACGUUAGCGGCGGACGGGUGAGUAACACGUGGAUAACCUACCUAUAAGACUGGGAUAACUUCGGGAAACCGGAGCUAAUACCGGAUAAUAUAUUGAACCGCAUGGUUCAAUAGUGAAAGACGGUUUUGCUGUCACUUAUAGAUGGAUCCGCGCCGCAUUAGCUAGUUGGUAAGGUAACGGCUUAUCAAGGCGACGAUGCGUAGCCGACCUGAGAGGGUGAUCGGCCACACUGGAACUGAGACAAGGUCCAGACUCCUAAGGGAGGCAGCAGUAGGGAAUCUUCCGCAAUGGGCGAAAGCCUGACGGAGCAACGCAGCGUGAGUGAUGAAGGUCUUCGGAGCGUAAAACUCUGUUAUUAGGGAAGAACAAAUGUGUAAGUAACUAUGCACGUCUUGACGGUACCUAAUCAGAAAGCCACGGCUAACUACGUG
rnacentral:rRNA from 1 species